UCUCUCUCUCUCUCUCUGUCUGUCUCUGUCUCUCUCUCUCUCUCUCUCAUAAUUCCUGGCUGCACCUGCUCCUAUCUGCUGCAGGAGGAAGCAUCUCUGGUGACUGGACAAGAGAAUCUACACAAGAUCAAGUCAGUCAACAUUCCAGCAUGAAAUGGUUCAUGAGUCAUCCCUAACUGAGAAACUCAAGAACAGUUGAUGGCUUCUGGGGGAGGCUGCUGUCUGUUAGCAUUGCAUUGGAAAGUCUCUACUUCAGGCUGGCCCUCAUCUACCGAAGUCCUCGGAGCCUCAUGUAGUGCCUGAUAAAUGAGGUGUUCGCUAAAUAUUGAAAUUCACUAACUAUGCUCCUCACGGCCCUGGCCACAAUACCUUUCCUAGGACCUUUUCGUUGGGAGCCACACUGCAAGAGCAAAACCCUCGGGAAGGUUCAGAGUUUAAACCAAAGCUAGAUUACAGGACUGAGAGAAAUAAUUGCAUGAUUUGGGAUUUCUGAAGCAGGCCUCCCCUCCUCUGGCAUCAGUGUUAUUGGGAGGACUGAGGCAUGGGGUGACAUCUUAAUACACGUUCCCAUCAACAAGGACGACCUUUCAGGCCAAUUCUUCCCUUUUCUCUGAUAGGAAAAUAAAGUUCAUAUCCCAAGAGA